UCUUUUGGUAGGUGAAGUUGAUGAUAGAGAUUGUUGAUAUAAUUCAAAGCCUACUUUAAAAAAGCAAGCAAGUAAACAAACAAAUAAACAAAAAUCCAAAAUCCAUUCUCUCCUACACUUGUAGGGUCACAACAUAUCUCUGCAAGCUUAGCCUGGGGACCAGCAUUUCUAUAAAACAGCUUUGAAGGCAAAAUCCACAGUCCUGGGAGAGCAGGAGGCAUGAAGUGCUUGUCCUUUGCAUUACUGCAUCCACUUGCCUGGAUCUGUCCCAACUCCACUGGCCUGGAGGAACAUUUGGAGCAGCCUGGCAGUGAGAUCCUUUCGGUAGCUUCCAAGGAUUUUUGGGAUCAUGGGAUGCAUGGACAUACAGACCCAUGAAGCCCUCUGGAGAAUGCUGGCUGUGGAUAAAAGCAUCUUCAAGUUCCUACCAUUUUUUUACCCUGUUUUUUUCCUGGGUCACCGUGUGCCAUUUGGGAAGGAAGCCUCUCUGUCCUGAGGAUUAUAGUGUACUGGUCACUUACUGGAAUACCUCCCCAGUCAUCUUUUGGAGAUGAAGCCAUUCCUUUACCUAGCUGGAAGAUAUUUUUUCUUCUCCCAGAGCUUUUCCAGAGUAGCAGCACUCCUGUACAGCAGCUGUCUGAUAAAGACAUUGCAAACCAGUUCUCCACUUGUUCCUGUAAGAUGUGAAAAGGUCCUUUGUCAGCAGCACAUUGCGAUGGAAUGAGCUUUAUCUUUUGUCUCCAUUGACUGCGAAAAGGAGCAAGGAGGAGCAAGUGGAAAGGAGGUUAGAUCCUGCCAGGGUUUCCUGGGAAAUGAGGUGUAUCCACUCUCUGGAUGAUGAAGCUUGAUGAGCUGCAAUUUGGCUUGGAUUACAAUAUUUCAGAAGACUUUCUGAACUUGCCAGGCAACCCUCCCUCUAGACUUUGAGGACAGUGGAGCUUAAGUUUAUAUCUCCAGUAUCACACAGGAGAAAGAGCAUUACUUGACUGCUUUGCACAAGUAAUGAAAAUCAAUACUGUGUUGCCAUUCAGAGGAGUGCUCAAAAGGAGAAAAGCCUGGCAUAUAGAUCUUGUUUUAGAGACAGAUUUUGUCUGGGGAGAAGGUGCCUAAGGGAAGAUGCAGGAAGAAAGAGGAGAGGUGAUGCUACAAGCCAGCUUCCUGACUUCCAGAGUGGGACUGGAGCUUCAUAAUAAGAUUUAUCUGGAAAGUAUGACCGGCAGGAGCAGCUUACUCACCAUUAGAUAAGUAUUACAGAUGACUCAUGCAGUAUUGAUAGCUGUGCAGCUGAGAGGAAUAUACUGUUUUAUAACAGCUGUCAUGUGAUGCCAAGAGCCAGGAACCUUAAUUUCACCAUCCAUGCAUUUCCAUGAACGUGCUUUGGGUCUCUGGCACCUUUUGUCCUUCUGCUUUUGUCCAUACAAAGGGUUCACAGAAGAGGUUCUGCUUCCCUCAGUGGGGUACAGGGUAUGGGGCAGCUCAUGUAGUUUCAAGUUGUCACCUUGAAAUGAAAGCUAGUGUUGAAAGGCUGCAGCUUUGUAGCUGUUCUCCAGGACCUGAAAUUUUUGUCUUUUUAAUAGAUGCCAUUAGUGGCUUUCCUUGAUUCUUUGGGGGUUUUUUUGUUUUGUUUUUUUGUUGUUCCAGAGCCAUUACACUCCUACUCCAGCAUGACAAACCAGAAGGUGCAGAAACAGCAUCCCUCAGGCAGAACAGAGAAGGGUUGCUUGAAUGGGGAGUUGAAAGAAGAAAUGUUAUUUUACUAAGCCAUGUCAAGAAAUUAUACGGGAAGAAGAAACAGAGGACAGAUGGAAGGAACCCAACUGUCUUCUUCUGCAGGGAAGACAUCUCUUUGUAGCAUUGAGACUGCCUUCAGGAUUCAUGAUUCAGCUUUCAGAUUUUCUAACUAUGGAAGCUCUCCCAAGGAGGUGCAUCAUGCAUGGCUGCCCCUGGGAUGGGAUGCAGAGCAGGGAGUGAAGAGGAGCUGCAAUAUGCCACUGCAAGUUGCUUUCAUGAGGAGAGAGGCUCUCUGGCAUGUCAUACAGUGCAGAAAGCCAUUUUACUCUUGACAGUAAAAAUCCUUAUCCUUCUUGUUUUGUUGUUUUUUUUUUUUUUUUUCCAGGACAGAUGAUAUUUCCUGUUAGAGAUGCUUUGUAUGCAAAUCAAGGUAGUACAACAAGAAAAAAAGUCCUGAAAGCAAUCACACAGAUAAACGGAGCCCACUGGGGAAUUCCUACUUAUCAUUUAUCUUUUCUUUUUUUUCAGUUCUGUACAAGAUACUUCUUUGCCUGCGCUUUCUUAUGGUCUUUAAAGUUUGUCCUGCCAGACCUCUUACUCAUGAACUACAGUGCUACUUGCAUUUUGCAGGGCUCCAUGUCAAUCUGAAGAAACAAAAUGCAGUAAAUGCUGGAGAUUGGUGUUAACAGUC